ensembl:lncRNA
GUAGUAAAACAAAACAGGAGUUUAUGAUCUAUGCAUAGCCACUUUACCCCUACCUACAUGUACAAGUCCAUGCUAGGUAAAGCUCCGCCUUAUCUCAGUUCACUGUUCACGAUGGCAACACCCACCCAUAGCACGCGCUCCAGCAGGUGUAUCUCACUGAUCAUCCCUAAAGCCAACACCUCAUUUGGCCACCUUUCGUUCCAGUUCUCUGCUGCCUGUGACUGGAACGAAUUGCAAAAAUCGCUGAAGUUGGAGACUUUUAUCUCCCUCACCAACUUCAAACAUCUGCUAUCUGAGCAGCUAACCGAUCGCUGCAGCUGUACAUAGUCCAUGGUAAAUAGCCCACCCAAUUCACCUACCUCUUCCCCAUACUGUUUAUAUUUAUUUACUUUUCUGCUCUUUUGCACACCAAUAUCUCUACCUGUACAUGACCAUCUGAUCAUUUAUCACUCCAGUGUUAUUAAUCUGCAAAAUUGUAAUUAUUCGCCUACCUCCUCAUGCCUUUUGCACACAACGUAUAUAGACUCCCUUUUUUUUCUACUGUGUUAUUGACUUGUUAAUUGUUUACUCCAUGUGUAACUCUGUGUUGUCUGUUCAGACUGCUAUGCUUUAUCUUGGCCAGGUCGCAGUUGCAAAUGAGAACUUGUUCUCAACUAGCCUACCUGGUUAAAUAAAGGUGAAAUAAAAUAAAUUUAAAAAACAAAUUAACUCGACUAACCUGUACACCCGCACAUUGACUAUGUACCGGUAACCCCUCAUUACUAACCAGUACCCCUUGUAAAUAGCCUCAUUAUUGUUAUUUUAUUCUGUUACAUUUUUAGUAUUUAAUUUUUUACAACUUUUGUUUAUUUAUUAAAUAUUUUAACUAUAUUUCUUGAACUGCAUUGUUGGUUAAGGGCUUGUAAGUAGCAUUUCAUGGUUAGGUCUGCUACACCAGUUGUAUUCGGCAUUUCAUGGUUAGGUCUGCUACACCAGUUGUAUUCGGCAUUUCCUGGUUAGGUCUGCUACACCAGUUGUAUUCGGCAUUUCAUGGUUAGGUCUGCUACACCGGUUGUAUUGGGCAUUUCAUGGUUAGGUCUACUACACCGGUUGUAUUCGGCUCAUGUGACAUAACAUUUUAUUUGAUUUGUGUUACACACUCAAUGAUAACAUGCCAAACAAUAAUUCUCACUAAACCAGCACCCCAGGGUUCCUAAAAGUGUGACCCUCACAGCAGGGGUUGCGUUAUAGGUCAGGAAGUCCCCAAUCUGGUCCAUAAUCACUGUUGGAAGAAAUUCACAAGAGGUCAGUGCAUUCAAGGAAUAUCAAAAAUUAUAUAUUUAUUUGUUUUUGAAAAAGUGUACCCAUGUGCAGUAUCAUACCGGAGCGCCAAGUCAAGGUCCAAGAGGCUUCUAAACA